rnacentral:sRNA from 1 species
GCUGGGCAUGGUGGUGCAUGCCUGUAAUCCCAGCAGCUUGGGAGGCUGAGGCAGCCAGCUUUAGGAAUUUAGGGAGGCCCUAAGCCACUUAGUGCGACCCUGGCUCCA